UUCGCUAAAUCAACUCUGACGAAACAGUUUGCUAAAUCAACUAUGUUAUAUCCCAAAUGGUUAAAUUUGGGAAAACUGACAGGAUGUAAAUUAAAACAGGCCUGUGUUGUUGGAGUUUCAUUAACGGUCUGACGGCAAAUAGCGCCGAACAGUUCGCUAAACCAGCAAUUUUAUAUAUCAAAGGGUUAAAUUUGGGAAAACUGACAGGAUGUAAAUCAAGACAGGUUUUCUUUACCAACAAAGCUAACUCGUAAACACGGUGGUGAGGUGUUGUGUCAGAUAUCAUGGAUGGUUUAAAGGUAAAUGGCGGCAAACAAUUUGCUAAACCAAUAAUAGGGUUACAUUUGGAAAACUGACAGGACGAUACCCAAAACAAGUUUUUAACUUCUUCAACAAAGGGUUAAAUAUGGGAGAACUGACAGGAUGUAAAUCAAAUCAGCUCUUCUUCAUCAACAAAGACAUUUUUAUCCCUGGGAUUCGAACCCAUGACCUUCUUCGUAACAUCCUGGAUCCGAAAGCUUUCCGAGUGUUGCGUUCUCUCUCAAUAUUACCCUUCUUCAGAGCAAGAUCUCUGCAUUCCCUGGUGGUCUAAUUUAUGUUAAGUCACCAACCUCCCCCAUGGCUGUUUUGAAACGUCUGCGAAUGGAGACUGUAUUGGUGCAGCCUAGCGCUGCGACAGAGUCCCCGGUGAGAUUACUCUCCACGGGAAAGAGCCACUCACCGAAACCAUCUGCAAGUCCAUGGGGCAGUUUGGGAAGAAAGACCAGACUUCUAAAGAUCUCCACUCUCAACCCCGCUUCCCGUGCGAAGCGAGUAAUUAAUUCCGAUUCGGAGGAAGUCAGCGGCUGGCCUUGGAUCAGUGGCAUGUGUAAUACACGGAAACCCAUUCCUCUGGGAAAACCGCUUGUCCUGGAAUGGACAACUGAGCUCUGCAAUGUUUUGAAGAUAAAGGAAUAUUCUAGUUAAACUCAAUCGGCAAAAUGUGUGAUGUCAUGUUGAUUUCCACACUAAUUAACUUCCUCCUUUUGUUAAAAAGCAGCGAUCUGGGUUACAUUUAUGCACUUACAAUGGAGGCCAAUACACAGUAAAACAUGAUUUUUUUUUUUUUUUUUUUUUUUUUUUUUAUUAAUAAAACAAAGAUAUUUGGAGUAUGUUUAAAAACCAUUCAGUCUUACAAAUUUCAUGGUUAAUUUAAUGUGUUUCUUGCCAUUUCUUUGUAAUUAUUUGUGAAAUUUAUUAGCAAAUUUCUAAUUAGUUUUUUUUUUUUAUUUCAGUGUACAUAAAAGUAAAAUACUUAUUGUUCAAUUGUAUAGCCACAAGAUAUGAACAAUAUGCAUAUUAACAUGACGUAGUGUGAAAAAAAUCAUUUACUAACCUUUUCUCUGUAGGUAUUACAAGAUUUUUAAAAUAUGUUUAAAAAAAAAAAAAACUAUUUCAGCCUUUCUACUUGCAAAUUUCAUGGUUACUUGCCAUUUCUUUGUAAUUAUUUGUGAAAUGUAUUAUUUAUUGUAACUAAUUUAUUGUAACUAUUUCAGUCUUUCUACCUAAAAAUGUCAUGGUUAAUGUAAUGUGUUAUUUGAUAUUUCUUUGUAAUUAUUCAUGAAAUU